CUACUAAAAAUCUGUUCAUAGACAUCGCAUGUUUUAAAUCGGUCAGACUUGCACACGAUGUAAAAACGUAAUCUAACAUCGUUUUACGAAAAUACCGAUUUAAAUGUAUAUCAUUAACAUCGGGUCUUAAAAUGACCGGUGUUAAAAGUUUUGUUUGAAAAUUUGCGGAAACCUAUUUUUGCAAAACGCGCUAAGUAUUUUAAGUGAAUUGAAGAAGCGGGUACUAAAUCUAAAAACUUUCACACUUAGAAAAAAAUUUGCGCCCGACCCCAAAACUGAAACAGAAAACCCUAGCGAGACUCCUUCAUUCUAAACUCACCCCAAACUGGAUCUCCUCCCAAACUCAACCUCCAUUCUGGACUCUAAGCUUACUCGAACUCGAUCGCCGCCAUUCUAGAGCUCCUCAUUGCUUCCUUCUUCUACGUCCUCAGCUUAUUCGGCAUUGACUCCGUCCAGUCCGUCAUCUUACGCGCCUCCCACUACGACGGUGACGACGUCCUCAUCAACUCCCGCUGCUGCCCUCCCCCUGCCAAACCCAAAUUCGCUUUCUUCUGCUUGAGGGAUUCGAGUUGAUUUUGCUUCCUCCAAAACCUUUUUCAACUCUUCACAGUUCGCCCUCCAAAGCGUUUUGUCCGAGCUCGUUGAAGGACAAGGUUUAUAGGAUCUUCUGCAGGGAAAAGCGUAAGCUCGCCGGUAGAAAGGGUAAGCUUCGUGAUACUUCGCUUUUCUUUUAAGCUCUAUCGUGAACUGGAUUUUUCAAUUUCCGAUUUCAGAUUUGUUUGGAAUCAUUCGGUUGUAGAGAAACUGUAUUAGAACUAUGUCUCCACUGGUGUCUAUGUUGAGAAUCGGUGCUCGGAUAAAAUCACUCAGCUCAUGGAUAAUGUCUACGUCUGUCGCUCUGGAUCGGCUGCAGAUUCUCAGGUUGUUUUCUACUAUGUGAGGCACUUUGUUCAUCAGCACACCGUUCAGCUAUGGCAGCCUGCUACUGUCAAAGUUGUUGCUAAUCUCAUCAGGCUACUGUGAUAUGGCAACAACGUUAGGUUUGAAUAUGUUGCAAACUGGAAAAAAAGGAUGAUAUCUUUAGGUGCUGAUCUCCGGAAGGGAAGAGCCAGAGGCUCUUCUUUCCCCUGCAAUGGAUGCUGUAAUAAGAGUAUUCAAACGUGUCGCUGGAUUAUCUGAGAGUGCAGGCGAGGCAGAGUUGUCUGGUGCUGCUGGAGUUGCAUUCUGUUCCAUCCGUUUGUUGGUAGCAUCCACACAAGCGAUUAAUUUAAUUGGAAAACAAGGAUCAUUAAUCAAAUCUAUACAGGAGAGUACCGCUGCUUCUAUGCGAGUAUUGUCUGGAGAUUAUGCAAACAAUGCAAAUUCCUCUGUCUUAUGCUGAGGACAUUAUUGGGGUUGAAGGAAGGAGUAUUGAAUUUAUUCAUUGUAGUAGUGGAGCCUUGUUAACUGUACAAGAGAGCAGGGGACUACCUGAUGAAAUUACAGUGGAAAUAAAAGGCACCUCAUCACAGGUUCAGGCGGCUCAACAACUGAUUCAGGGCCUUGGAUUACAAGUUGUGAAAUAUUUGGCUGCCAAAUAUGAAGAGCUAGGGUGUGAAGUGAAAUGGAUGGGCAAGCCUGAUAAGGUGAUCUAGUCACAUUGGUCUGGUUACCGCUGUUAACUUCACUUCAUGUGAACCUUUAGCUUAAUACAUAUUUCUCUUGCACUUGACUACCAAGAUGAAUUUUGAGCAAGGCUAGUUUUUGCUUUGAAGCAAAGUUUGGUGUUGAAAUUUUGUAGAUUGUUGCUCAUAUGUUUCUAGGCUAGCCUUUGUAGGUUUUGGGGUUUUCUUUUGUGACAUAUGUUCAAUCAUGAAUUUGGAAAGAAAAUUAAUGGAAAGCCCCAAUUUUUGGA